AGUGAACGCUGGCGGUAGGCCUAACACAUGCAAGUCGAACGGCAGCACAGGAGAGCUUGCUCUCUGGGUGGCGAGUGGCGGACGGGUGAGGAAUACAUCGGAAUCUACUCUGUCGUGGGGGAUAACGUAGGGAAACUUACGCUAAUACCGCAUACGACCUACGGGUGAAAGCAGGGGAUCUUCGGACCUUGCGCGAUUGAAUGAGCCGAUGUCGGAUUAGCUAGUUGGCGGGGUAAAGGCCCACCAAGGCGACGAUCCGUAGCUGGUCUGAGAGGAUGAUCAGCCACACUGGAACUGAGACACGGUCCAGACUCCUACGGGAGGCAGCAGUGGGGAAUAUUGGACAAUGGGCGCAAGCCUGAUCCAGCCAUACCGCGUGGGUGAAGAAGGCCUUCGGGUUGUAAAGCCCUUUUGUUGGGAAAGAAAUCCAGCUGGUUAAUACCCGGUUGGGAUGACGGUACCCAAAGAAUAAGCACCGGCUAACUUCGUGCCAGCAGCCGCGGUAAUACGAAGGGUGCAAGCGUUACUCGGAAUUACUGGGCGUAAAGCGUGCGUAGGUGGUUAUUUAAGUCCGUUGUGAAAGCCCUGGGCUCAACCUGGGAACUGCAGUGGAUACUGGAUGACUAGAAUGUGGUAGAGGGUAGCGGAAUUCCUGGUGUAGCAGUGAAAUGCGUAGAGAUCAGGAGGAACAUCCAUGGCGAAAGGCAGCUACCUGGGACCAACAUUGACACUNGAGGCACGAAAGNNGUGGGGGAGCAAACCAGG
rnacentral:rRNA from 1 species